UGAGGGAUAUUGGUCAAUGGGCGCAAGCCUGAACCAGCGACGCCGCGUGGGUGAAGAAGGUCUUCGGAUCGUAAAGCCCUUUUCCCACUGAAGAGGAAGGACGGUAGGUGGGGAAGAAGUCUCGGCUAACUACGUGCCAGCAGCCGCGGUAAAACGUAGGAGACAAGCGUUAUCCGGAGUUACUGGGCGUAAAGGGCGUGCAGGUGGCGUCUUAAGUCUGUUGUGAAAGCGCCUGGCUUAACCGGGCGAGGCCGAUGGAGACUGAGAGGCUGGAGGACGGCGGAGGGGUGUGGAAUUCCGGGUGUAGUGGUGAAAUGCGUAGAGAUCCGGAGGAACACCAGAGGCGAAGGCGGCACUCUAAGCCGUACCUGACACUGAGACGCGACAGCACGGGGAGCAAACG
rnacentral:rRNA from 1 species